UCAGUCUCCUUCUGGGAGCAGGAAGUGCUCUUAGUCGCUGAGCCAUCUUUCCAGAAUGUUCUUCCUGAAGACAGUUUGAACAAUGAAUUGGACAAGAGCAAAAUGCCACACAGAAUGUCCAUUACUAAAGAUUAAAGAACUUUUCAAUGUUCAUGCUGUAGACGACAAGAAUAUGAACUAGGAUUAGAAAAUUCAGGAAGUAAGCCCAGAAGGACUUGGUGACCGACCACAUGUCCAAGUGAAGGAGGGAUUCCUUAAUGGCCAACAUAGCAACUAGCAGUUCUCAUAGUCCGAAAUGUCUACCCUCUGCCUUGAGGUCUCCACUAAUGAUCAAAACCAAAUUCUGCUACAAAAGAUAGUAGAGGGAACAAUAGAAGGAAUAAACCUGCAAGGGUAAAAAUAGAAUUCACUUAAA